rnacentral:rRNA from 1 species
AGCCCAAACCAAUAAAGUUUUCUUUAUUGGGGUUGCGGACAUAUCAUAACGAAGAGGUAUCGUAAUUGAAGAGGUUUGGAAAGACCCACCACAGAAGGUAAUAGUCCUGUAUGUUAAACGAGAAGACUUUAGAUAUGAUCCAGAGUACCACGGGACACGUGAAACCCUGUGGGAAGCAGGAGGGACCACCCUCCAAGGCUAAAUACUACCUAGUGACCGAUAGCGUAUAGUACCGUGAGGGAAAGGUGAAAAGAACCCCGGGAGGGGAGUGAAAUAGAACCUGAAACCCUGCACUUACAAGCUGUGGAAGCACAUUUCUUGUGUGACCGCGUACUUUUUGUAGAACGGGCCAACGAGUUACGUUAAGUAGCAAGGUUAAGCACUUAAGGUGCGGAGCCGUAGCGAAAGCGAGUUUUAACUGAGCGUUCAGUUACUUGACGUAGACCCGAAACCGGGCGACCUACCCAUGAGCAGGAUGAAGCGAAAGUAAAAUUUCGUGGAGGUCCGAACCCACGAGCGUUGAAAAGCUCGGGGAUGACUUGUGGGUAGCGGUGAAAUUCCAAUCGAGCCCGGAGAUAGCUGGUUCUCCCCGAAAUAGCUUUAGGGCUAGCCUCAAGGUGAGAGAUACGGAGGUAGAGCACUGAAUGUCCUAGGGGGUAUUGCACCUACCGAAGACUAUCAAACUCCGAAUGCCGUCAUCUUAUACUUGGGAGUCAGACUGUGGGUGAUAAGAUUCAUAGUCGAAAGGGCAACAGCCCAGAUCGUCAGCUAAGGUCCCUAAAUGUAAGUUAAGUGGUAAAGGAUGUGGGAUUGCACAGACAACCAGGAUGUUGGCUUAGAAGCAGCCACUCAUUCAAAGAGUGCGUAAUAGCUCACUGGUCGAGUGAUCCUGCGCCGAAGAUUUCCGGGGCUAAAACUUACUACCGAAGCUACGGCAUCAGUAAUGAUGGGUAGGGGAGCUUCCCAUACGGGUUGAAGCAUGACCGUAAGGACAUGUGGACAGUAUGGGAGUGAGAAUGUUGGCAUGAGUAGCGAGAUGUGGGUGAGAAUCCCACAGGCCGUAAACCCAAGGUUUCCAGGGGAAGGUUCGUCCGCCCUGGGUUAGUCGGGACCUAAGCUGAGGCCGAAAGGCGUAGGUGAUGGACAACAGGUUGAUAUUCCUGUACUACCGAUAACCGUUUGAGAGAAGGGAUGACACAGUAGGAUAAGCUAAGCACACUGUUGGUUAUGUGUGCCCAAGCAUUGAGGCAGUCAAAGUAGGCAAAUCCGCUUUGAUAAUGCUGGGAUGUGAUGGGGAGCGAAAUUUAGUAGCGAAGUAGCUGAUUUCACACUGUCAAGAAAAGUCUCUAUCGAGGUUAAAGGUACCCGUACCGCAAACCGACACAGGUGGGUGAGGAGAGUAUCCUAAGGCCAGCGAGAGAACUGUUGUUAAGGAACUCGGCAAAAUGACCCCGUAACUUAGGGAUAAGGGGUGCCACCAUCAGGUGGCCGCAGAGAAUAGGCCCAAGCGACUGUUUACCAAAAACAUAGGUUUCUGCUAAGUCGCAAGACGAUGUAUAGGAGCUGACGCCUGCCCGGUGCUGGAAGGUUAAGGGGAUCUGUUAGAGCAAUCGAAGCAGUGAACUUAAGCCCCAGUAAACGGCGGCCGUAACUAUAACGGUCCUAAGGUAGCGAAAUUCCUUGUCGGGUAAGUUCCGACCCGCACGAAAGGCGUAACGAUUUGGGCACUGUCUCAACAACAGACUCGGUGAAAUUGUAAUUCCGGUGAAGAUGCCGGAUACCUGCGACAGGACGGAAAGACCCCAUGGAGCUUUACUGUAGCUUGACAUUGGGUCUUGGUACUACAUGUACAGGAUAGGUGGGAGGCUUUGAAACCAGGACGCCAGUUUUGGCGGAGCCAUCCUUGGGAUACCACCCUUGUAGUACUGGGACUCUAACCAUAGGCCAUGAAUCUGGUCUUGGGACACUGUCAGGUGGGCAGUUUGACUGGGGCGGUCGCCUCCCAAAAGGUAACGGAGGCGCUCAAAGGUUCUCUCAGUACGGUCGGAAAUCGUACGUAGAGUGUAAAGGCAAAAGAGAGCUUGAUUGCAAGACAUACAGGUCGAGCAAGGAUGAAAAUCGGACUUAGUGAUCCGGUGGUUCUGCGUGGAAGGGCCAUCGCUCAACGGAUAAAAGCUACCCUGGGGAUAACAGGCUUAUCUCCCCCAAGAGUCCACAUCGACGGGGAGGUUUGGCACCUCGAUGUCGGCUCAUCACAUCCUGGGGCUGUAGUAGGUCCCAAGGGUUGGGCUGUUCGCCCAUUAAAGUGGUACGCGAGCUGGGUUCAGAACGUCGUGAGACAGUUCGGUCCCUAUCCGUCGCAGGCGUAGGAAAUUUGAGAAGACCUGUCCUUAGUACGAGAGGACCGGGAUGGACGUACCUCUGGUGUACCAGUUGUCCUGCCAAGGGCAUGGCUGGGUAGCUAUGUACGGAAUGGAUAAGCGCUGAAAGCAUCUAAGCGCGAAGCCAACUUCAAGAUAAGAUUUCCCACCGCAAGGGUAAGACCCCAGAAAGACUAUCUGGUUGAUAGGUCGAAGGUGUAAGUGCAGCAAUGUAUUUAGCUUAUCGAUACUAAUAGGUCGAGGACUUGACC